rnacentral:rRNA from 1 species
UACGGAGACUGCAAGCGUUAUUCGGAUUCACUGGGCGUAAAGGGUGCGCAGGCGGCCAAGUGUGUGAGGCGUGAAAGCCCGGGGCUUAACCCCGGAAUUGCACCUCAAACUACAUGGCUAGAGCAUUGGAGAGGGUAGCAGAAUUCAUGGUGUAGCAGUGAAAUGCGUAGAUAUCAUGAGGAAUACCAGAGGCGAAGGCGGCUACCUGGACAAUUGCUGACGCUCAGGCACGAAAGCGUGGGGAGCAAAAGGG